CCUACGGGAGGCAGCAGUAGGGAAUCUUCCACAAUGGGCGAAAGCCUGAUGGAGCAACGCCGCGUGGGUGAAGAAGGUCUUCGGAUCGUAAAACUCUGUUGUUAGAGAAGAAAGUGCGUGAGAGUAACUGUUCACGUUUCGACGGUAUCUAACCAGAAAGCCACGGCUAACUACGUGCCAGCAGCCGCGGUAAUACGUAGGUGGCAAGCGUUAUCCGGAUUUAUUGGGCGUAAAGGGAACGCAGGCGGUCUUUUAAGUCUGAUGUGAAAGCCUUCGGCUUAACCGGAGUAGUGCAUUGGAAACUGGGAGACUUGAGGGCAGAAGAGGAGAGUGGAACUCCAUGUGUAGCGGUGAAAUGCGUAGAUAUAUGGAAGAACACCAGUGGCGAAGGCGGCUCUCUGGUCUGUAACUGACGCUGAGGUUCGAAAGCGUGGGUAGCAAACAGGAUUAGAUACCCUUGUAGUC
rnacentral:rRNA from 1 species